ensembl:snoRNA
GGGGUGUACUCAGAGGAGGGGGCCUGAAGAAUGGCUCCUAUGUUAAAACACUCUCAACAGAAUCUGGGGUCAUUGUGAUGACAGGCACAAAACUUGUGGCCUCCCUAGAAACAAACUCUCUACAUGU